UUGAGCAUACUCUAAUUGAAAUUUUGUUGGGUAUUAAAGUAAAAGUAAAAAUGGAGAGAGUGUGUUUAAGAAAGGGAAGCAAGUGGGUCCAAAAAAUAGAGAAGAACGCGGCAAUGAAGAAAAGGCGAUUGCGCGUAAAUCGAGGCUGGUUGGCACCCACAACACUCCCAACCAUUUCACUCUUCUGUCCAAAUCCUUUUUAUUCUAAAUUUUCCAAACUUUUCAAUUCUCUCUCUUUAACCAUUUUUCGAAUUAAA
rnacentral:lncRNA from 1 species